rnacentral:rRNA from 1 species
UGAGGAAUAUUGGUCAAUGGGCGUGAGCCUGAACCAGCCAAGCCGCGUGAGGGAAGAAGGCGCCAGGCGUCGUAAACCUCUUUUGCCGGGAACAAAGGGCGCCACGUGUGGCGUUGUGAGUGUACCCGGAGAAAAGCAUCGGCUAACUCCGUGCCAGCAGCCGCGGUAAUACGGAGGAUGCGAGCGUUAUCCGGAUUUAUUGGGUUUAAAGGGUGCGUAGGCGGACCGGAAAGUCAGCGGUAAAAGCCCGGGCUCAACCCGCGACGCGUGUAACAUGCCGGCAGCUAGAGACGGCGAGAAGUACGCGGAAUGCGCGGUGUAGCGGUGAAAUGCAUAGAUAUCGCGCAGAACUCCGAUUGCGAAGGCAGCGUACCGGCGCCGGACUGACGCUGAGGCACGAAAGCGUGGGUAUCGAACAGGAUUAGAUACC